UGGCGGCGUGCCUAAUACAUGCAAGUAGAACGCUGAAGGAAGGAGCUUGCUCUUUCCGGAUGAGUUGCGAACGGGUGAGUAACGCGUAGGUAACCUGCCUGGUAGCGGGGGAUAACUAUUGGAAACGAUAGCUAAUACCGCAUAACAGUAGAUAUCGCAUGAUAGCUGCUUAAAAGGUGCAAUUGCACCACUACCAGAUGGACCUGCGUUGUAUUAGCUAGUUGGUGAGGUAACGGCUCACCAAGGCAACGAUACAUAGCCGACCUGAGAGGGUGAUCGGCCACACUGGGACUGAGACACGGCCCAGACUCCUACGGGAGGCAGCAGUAGGGAAUCUUCGGCAAUGGACGGAAGUCUGACCGAGCAACGCCGCGUGAGUGAAGAAGGUUUUCGGAUCGUAAAGCUCUGUUGUAAGAGAAGAACGAGUGUGAGAGUGGAAAGUUCACACUGUGACGGUAUCUUACCAGAAAGGGACGGCUAACUACGUGCCAGCAGCCGCGGUAAUACGUAGGUCCCGAGCGUUGUCCGGAUUUAUUGGGCGUAAAGCGAGCGCAGGCGGUUAGAUAAGUCUGAAGUUAAAGGCUGUGGCUUAACCAUAGUACGCUUUGGAAACUGUUUAACUUGAGUGCAAGAGGGGAGAGUGGAAUUCCAUGUGUAGCGGUGAAAUGCGUAGAUAUAUGGAGGAACACCGGUGGCGAAAGCGGCUCUCUGGCUUGUAACUGACGCUGAGGCUCGAAAGCGUGGGGAGCAAACAGG
rnacentral:rRNA from 1 species